CUACGGGCGGCACCAGUGGGGAAUAUUGGACAAUGGGGGCAACCCUGAUCCAGCAAUGCCGCGUGUGUGAAGAAGGCCUGCGGGUUGUAAAGCACUUUCAAUAGGGAGGAAAGGCUUUGGGUUAAUACCCCGAAGUCUUGACGUUACCUUUAGAAGAAGCACCGGCUAACUCUGUGCCAGCAGCCGCGGUAAUACAGAGGGUGCGAGCGUUAAUCGGAAUUACUGGGCGUAAAGCGCGCGUAGGCGGUUUGAUAAGUCAGAUGUGAAAGCCCCGGGCUUAACCUGGGAACUGCAUUUGAUACUGUCAAACUAGAGUAUGGUAGAGGGUAGUAGAAUUCCUGGUGUAGCGGUGAAAUGCGUAGAUAUCAGGAGGAAUACCAGUGGCGAAGGCGGCUACCUGGACAAAUACUGACGCUGAGGUGCGAAAGCGUGGGGAGCAAACAGGAUUAGAUACCCUCGUAGUC
rnacentral:rRNA from 1 species